UUGAAGUGGUGUGACAUUUAGAGUGAUUCGAAUGGAAAGUCCUGGUCACACCAUGUAUGCAAAUACAAUUAGCUGUCACAGCUGGAGCUGCUUAGCAUGUGGGCGGGGAUGAUGUGGCUGUGUAGACUUCAUGUGACUAUCAGCUUAUCAUAAAAUACUUCUUUAAGAAAUUAUUCUUUGCUGGCACAGUAUGUCAUGAAGUGACUUCCAGAAAAUCAUUUGCUGCCAAGAAAUCUAAAAAGGACCCAAAAACUCCAGAGUUUCUAUCAGCCUCUGAAGUCAGCACCAGUCAUAGUUGGGGAUACACAUCAUUACCCUUCACUUGUGUUUGAAAAUCACCUGAGUCGGCACAGAGGGGUAGGAGGGAUGCAUCUGAAAGCUCCCUGGGCUCAGAGGACUGUCCUCCUGUCUGGGUCCUGCAUGCGGAAAAGAACAUUUUUAUUAGAUAAGCUCUCUAGAAAAUGUCUGAACACAUUUUCUGUCAGUACAUUUAGAAAAGUCCACAUGGAUGCAAGUACUUCAGCAUGACUUUAGCUGGUGCUUUGGCAGUUUGAGGAGUCAGAGAAUUUCCACUUUUUGUCUGAUACAGAACUAAUUAUCAGAUUGUGAUUAUCUAAUAAUAAUAACUACAAUAAAACACAUCAGUAAAACCCUU